rnacentral:rRNA from 1 species
ACCGGAUUCGCUGAGAGGUGGUGCAUGGCCGUCGUCAGUUCGUACUGUGAAGCAUCCUGUUAAGUCAGGCAACGAGCGAGACCCACGCCCACAGUUGCCAGCGAUCCCUCCGGGGAGGCGGGUACUCUGGUGGGGACCGCCGCUGCUAAAGCGGAGGAAGGAAUGGGCAACGGUAGGUCAGUAUGCCCCGAAUCCCCCGGGCUACACGCGGGCUACAAUGGUCGGCACAAUGGGUACCGACCCCGAGAGGGGUAGGCAAUCUCCUAAAGCCGAUCGUAGUUCGGAUUGAGGGCUGAAACUCGCCCUCAUGAAGCUGGAAUCCGUAGUAAUCGCGUUUCAACAGAACGCGGUGAAUACGUCCCUGCUCCUU